UCUACUCAAAAAACACCUCUAUAUGAACCGAAAAUCAGGCUUGAUUCAACCCAUGACAGUAGCUAUUCACAUUUUCAUCCUGGGCCUUAGAGGAACUGAUUUCUUCCACCACCCCCAUUUCCCUGUUACCUUAUAUAGAUUGUGCUGAUGGUGGCCAACUUCCUGCGUUGCUCAUGGUUUAUAGGUGUUCAGUCUGAACUGGACUGGAAGAGAAAGAUUGUCCAGGGCUGUAAAGAGAGACUGGAUUUUAAGCUGCUAUGUGAAGAGAUUGAGAGAGGCAACGUGGUGGCAAGAUGCCAGCCAAGAGGUUACUACAAUUGCCUGGAUGAGACGUGUCGAUUGCAGAGACAAGCUGGAGGUGAUGGGAAUGGGGAAAAAGCGCACAGUCAAGAACUCUGCAGGGGAACACCUGUUAGGAUCUGACCGCUGACGGUGUGCUGGGGGGUAAGACGGAAGCUUCGGACCCCAGGAUCUUGGGAUUUAUCACUUGCAAAUGGCAUUACCAUGUAGGCUGGAUUCAAAGCCACCUCUGUGAGGAUGACUCCUUC
rnacentral:lncRNA from 10 species